CCGAGACGGAACCGCGGCACGACGGAAGUGGUGCUGAGGACAGCGACGCCAGAGCCGGGAGGGACGGAGGGCGGCACCGGGACAGGGAAGGGCGCCUGUGCAGCCAUAAACCACCUCCGUGUGGGGUGAAGGGCUGGGAGUGGGACUGGGAUGUGGGGUUGGGAUAUGGAUAUGGGCCUGGGAUUAGGGAUGUGGGACUGGAAUGUGAGGAUAUGGAUGGAUACAGGAUGGUAUAUGGGGAAGUGAGAUAUAUAUGGGAGGGGCUGUGGAUAUGGGAUGGGUAUGGGAUCAGUAUGGGAAGAAUAUGAGAGGGGAGUGUGAUGAUAGUGUGAUGGGAUGAGAUAUGGAAUGGACGUGGAAUGGAUGUGGGAAACGGAUAUGGGAUGAAUAUGGGAUGGAUACAGAUAUGUGAUAUCCAUCACCAAUCCCCACACAACGCGCACCCCACAGCAUCCAAACCUGUUGGGGUUAUGGGGUACAGGGAGCUAUGGGAGAGAUAUAAGGGGGGAUAAUAGAGAGAUAGAGGGGUGAUAGGGGUUAUGGGGAGCUGGUGAGGGCUGUGAGGGGGAUAGUGGGCUCCAGAAGGCUGUCAGGGUAUAUGGAGGCAUACGGGGCUAUAGUGGACUGUGGUAAGGUAUUAGGGUAUUGGGGUAUAUGAGACUAUAGGGGUGGAUAUAGGGGGAUUUAGGGCAAUAGAGGGCUGUGAAGGGGUUACUUGGGGACGCAGUGCGAUAGGGAGCAUUGAGGUGUUUUGGGAGGGUCUAUGGGGGGCUGUGUGGGAGUAUAAUGUGGGCUAUGGAAGGAUGUGGGGCUAGAUGGUCCAGAUAUAGGCCCAAAUACAGGGACUGUAGGGAGUUAUAGGGGAAGAUGAGGGAAUAUUGGUGGGAUAUAUGGUUAUAACAAGCUGAGGCUGAGUGAGCCUGGUUCAGCAGCACCGCCUGACUGAACUGCGGAGGGAUUGUUUGGCACUCGCAGCACUCCGCAGGACAGAAGUGCAGAAAGCAGCUGCAGCCCAGAUUCGAUCUGCGGCUCCGACUCUGCCCCGGCCCGGGAGAAGAGAAAUUGCGGACCCUCCCCUUCGGCUCCGCCCCCAACGCUCAUUGCGCUGCCGUCCUCUGCUCUGCCCCUGACGCUAACCAUCACACUGCCUUCCUCCAACUCGCCUAUGUCUCCUGCUGCUGCAUCUCUGCAGUCUGCAUGUAACUUGCUUAAAGACAGAAACGGAUCGGAACCAGAGGAAUUUUUUGAUUCUGCUCCAGCAGAUCCAAAAGAUGCACCAUGCUUGGCUUUCUCAAUGCCCUCCAUCAACCAACAAUGCCCUGCUCAAAGGUAUCAUUGGACCAUGUUAGCAUCAGGAAUGCUUAAUAAUCCAACAAUAUGUCAAUUGUCUAUAGCAAAUACAUUACAACCAGUAAAAAAGCUAGGCUUCACAUCCUUAUUAAUAAUUACGUAGACGAUAUAUAGCAGAACAUAUAGCAGAAGCAUAGCAGCAGAACAAAAAGAGGA